ACACCUGCACAGGCUGAACACUGGGUCCGCUCCAUUUCAGUGCGCUGGUGCACCGCCUAACACGUAACGGCGAGGGCCGGGAAAACUGCUGACAAAAACAGCAAUGUCGGCCCACAGGGAAAAGGCCAUGGUAGCUUUCUUAGUUGACAAAUAAUGGUCAACAUGGACAGCAAUGUUCACAAUAUGAUUUUAUGUAAGUCUGAAAUACAUUGAUCAGUUGUCCGUCUUAUUACUCUCCCUUGACCUGCUAAUGUUUGAAUGGGCCAUGUGGUUUAGGUAGGCGUACAUCCCGCUGUCGCUGCUUGAAUUUGCUCCGAUGACGCCUUUUAAGUGGUGUGCAGACUCCGCCUACCCGGCGCACCACUGGCGUAAGCCGGUGUGGUAAUGGUGCGGACCCAGUAUCAACACACGAGGGGAGGUUACACGCGCGUUAUGUGUGUGCAGUAAACACAGAUCAGAGUACUCCACUAACAGGGCAGUGACUGCCAGCCCGUCCAUCAUCACUGCUGACAGAAGUACAGACAGACAGUCUCCACUUUGCUGAAGACAAGUCUUGCUAUUAGAUGGCGUUAUUUGCAUGUAAAAAUGGCGUAUAAUGAACCAGUUCGUCCGAGAGAAUAUGUGCUUUCAACACGUGAAGAACCAGAACCACCUCAGCUGCAAGACACCUGUGCAGUAAUGGACAGACCACCAGGCCAGGUCAUAAGCACAGGCAUUCAAGUAAAUGUACCCGAGACAUGCACCGCAACCAUGGAGAACUUUCUUUUCUGCCCGAUAACAGACCGACUCUGCAGCACAUUGUUGAUGAGGAGGCCAUUCUGCAGCUGAUGAAGAACUGCCCGAUGUGCAACAGAAAGUGUCGCUGUAGCAAACGCACUCGUGGUCCUUACUUCAUAGUCUACCAGAGCUGUUACUUCUGCCAUUAUCAACGCAAGUGGGCCAGCCAACCAGAAGCCAGAAAUAUGAACACUCCUAAGGCGCAUACACCGUCCAAGAGGAAACUUCAGCCUAAGGACAAGGUGUCUGUAAAUGCCAAGGCUCAGUCAUCACAACUUAAUAAGACAAGCAUUUCUGAAUCCUCAGUCUCAGAGUCCCAUGACCCAUUGGCCUGAGGAGCCCACUGUCAACUCUGUCUUUAGAUACAGUGAGGAAAAUAAGUAUUUGAACACCCUGCUAUUUUGCAAGUUCUCCCACUUAGAAAUCAUGGAGGGGUCUGAAAUUGUCAUCGUAGGUGCAUGUCCACUGUGAGAGACAUAAUCUAAAAAAAAUAAAAUACAUUUUUUUUUUUUAACUAUUUAUUUGUAUGAUACAGCUGCAGAUAAGUAUUUGAACAUCUGAGAAAAUCAAUGUUAAUAUUUGGUACAGUAGCCUUUGUUUGAAAUUACAGAGGUCAAACAUUUUCUGUAGUUUUUCACCAGGUUUGCACACACUGCAGGAGGGAUUUUGGCCCACUCCUCCACACAGAUCUUCUCUAGAUCAGUCAGGUUUCUGGCCUGUCGCUGAGAAACACGGAGUUUGAGCUCCCCCCAAAGAUUCUCUAUUGGGUUCAGGUCUGGAGACUGGCUAGGCCACGCCAGAACCUUGAUAUGCUUCUUACAGAGCCACUCCUUGGUUAUCCUGGCUGUGUGCUUCGGGUCAUUGUCAUGUUGGAAGACCCAGCCUCGACCCAUCUUCAGUGCUCUAACUGAGGGAAGGAGGUUGUUCCCCAAAAUCUCGCAAUACAUGGCCAUCCUCUCCUUAAUACAGUGCAGUUGCCCUGUCCCAUGUGCAGAAAAACACCCCCAAAGCAUGAUGCUACCACCCCCAUGCUUCACAGUAGGGAUGGUGUUCUUGGGAUGGUACUCAUCAUUCUUCUUCCUCCAAACACGUUUAGUGGAAUUACAUCAUCUGACCACAUGACUUUCUCCCAUGACUCCUCUGGAUCAUCCAAAUGGUCAUUGGCAAACUUAAGACGGGCCUGGACAUGUGCUGGUUUCAGCAGGGGAACCUUCCGUGCCAUGCAUGAUUUCAAACCAUGACGUCUUAGUGUAUUACCAACAGUAACCUUGGAAACGGUGGUCCCAGCUCUUUUCAGGUCAUUGACCAGCUCCUCCCGUGUAGUUCUGGGCUGAUUUCUCACCUUUCUUAGGAUCAUUGAGACCCCACAAGGUGAGAUCUUGCAUGGAGCCCCAAUCCGAGGGAGAUUGACAGUCCUGUUUAGCUUCUUCCAUUUUCUAAUGAUUGCUCCAACAGUGGACCUUUUUUCAUUUUUUCACAUUUCCCUGUAGCCCUUUCCAGCCUUGUGGAGGUGUACAAUUUUGUCUCUAGUGUCUUUGGACAGCUCUUUGGUCUUGGCCAUGUUAGUAGUUGGAUUCUUACUGAUUGUAUGGGGUGGACAGGUGUCUUUAUGCAGCUAACGACCUCAAACAGGUGCAUCUAAUUUAGGAUAAUAAAUGGAGUGGAGGUGGACAUUUUAAAGGCAGACUAACAGGUCUUUGAGGGUCAGAAUUCUAGCUGAUAGACAGGUGUUCAAAUACUUAUUUGCAGCAGUAUCAUACAAAUAAAUAAUCAUACAUUGUGAUUUCUGGAUUUUUUUUUUUUUUAAGAUUAUGUCUCUCACAGUGGACAUGCGCCUAUGAUGACAAUUUCAGACCCCUCCAUGAUUUCUAAGUGGGAGAACUUGCAAAAUAGCAGGGUGUUCAAAUACUUAUUUUCCUCACUGUAUGACUUGACUUACAUGAAUCUGAAUUUGGGCAUGAACCCACUUUCAGAUGUGCCUUAAGGUGGAUCAUUAUUAUGCAGUUGGAGAUGUGUGAUGAUGACAAACAAUUCUAUAAAGUUUUCUGUGGAGUUGUAGCUUCAGCCCAAAGUAGUAACAUUUAAUUUUCUAAGAAGGAACACAGUAAGAGUAAAAGCAGAUAAGUAUAGUUUUGCUUGCUAGUAGUGAGAAAUACUGCACUGAAAAUAUGGUAAGGUACCAUUGUGAUGUGGAAACAGGCAUUUUGAAUACUAAUCAUAAUUAUAAUAUUUAGAAAAAAUAAAAGUUUUACUUUUAGCCAUAAUCCUGCGCACUACAUGUCAGCGUGUACAAGCAUGAGUCAAUGCACGACAUGUUUAAUAUACAGGAAAAUGAACCUGUACUGAAAGGUCUGUGGUAAAUAUACAAGUCUUAACCUACUUGAUGGAGCUUUCCUGGGGGCCUCCUGCCAUCUCCGUCCUGGUGUGGUUUGUUUGUUUCGUUGUGACCCAUGCUGGGCCUUCAUUCUAGCUGGGGACAAUUUGGGGGCUUGGGAAACAUCCCUUAGUAUGGCCUCUCUGUACUGUCGCUCCUACACACAGACAAACACACAAAACUGUCAGUAAACUGGGACAAAAUGACCAACAAGCACUCAGUAAUUCACUUUCACUAUUUUCCAUUUUGCCCAUCUUCCUCUAAGCUGAAGGAUUAAUUGUUAUGGUUAAUAUCCUUACAUUGUUGUUUGUUUAAUAGUUGUCUGCAGAGCAGCAGUUGAUAUUUCCCCUUUUCCAUUAUAUACCAACUUUUGGGGUUAAAUUGGUGUUUACAGAUUAGAGAAAAGUUCCCCUUCAGUUUCCAGUAGAACAUAGCAACAAAUGAGGUGCAAUCUAUAUUUUUAUAGUGAAACUGAAUAUUGAAGUGUUAUCUGCAUAUUUUUUGAAUGUGUCGUAAAGUUUUUACUGUUUUAUGACUAACUUUGCAUUUUAUCUGAACAAAUAUGCUUUCACUAAUUGAUUCCAUUAGUACAGCAUAAUGUACAAGUACACAGGCGGAUUACAUUUUUCCCCUUUCCACUUCUGUUAUCUCAAGGUUGUGACUUAUGUGUUUUCUAAUAUUCAUAAUAAACAGUUUGAUAGUCA